rnacentral:rRNA from 1 species
AGAGUUUGAUCCUGGCUCAGGACGAACGCUGGCGGCGUGCCUAAUACAUGCAAGUCGAGCGAACAAGGAAGAAACUUGUUUCUUCCUUUGUUAGCGGCGGAUGGGUGAGUAACACGUGGGCAACCUGCCCUGCAGUUGGGGAUAACUCCGGGAAACCGGGGCUAAUACCGAAUAAUCAGUUCCUUCACAUGAAGGAACUCUGAAAGACGGCUAUGCUGUCACUGCAGGAUGGGCCCGCGGCGCAUUAGCUAGUUGGUGGGAUAACGGCCUACCAAGGCGACGAUGCGUAGCCGACCUGAGAGGGUGAUCGGCCACACUGGGACUGAGACACGGCCCAGACUCCUACGGGAGGCAGCAGUAGGGAAUCUUCCACAAUGGACGAAAGUCUGAUGGAGCAACGCCGCGUGAGCGAAGAAGGUUUUCGGAUCGUAAAGCUCUGUUGCGAGGGAAGAACAAGUACGGGAGUAACUGCCCGUACCUUGACGGUACCUCGUCAGAAAGCCACGGCUAACUACGUGCCAGCAGCCGCGGUAAUACGUAGGUGGCAAGCGUUGUCCGGAAUUAUUGGGCGUAAAGCGCGCGCAGGCGGUCCUUUAAGUCUGAUGUGAAAGCCCACGGCUCAACCGUGGAGGGUCAUUGGAAACUGGAGGACUUGAGUACAGAAGAGGAAAGCGGAAUUCCACGUGUAGCGGUGAAAUGCGUAGAGAUGUGGAGGAACACCAGUGGCGAAGGCGGCUUUCUGGUCUGUAACUGACGCUGAGGCGCGAAAGCAUGGGGAGCAAACAGGAUUAGAUACCCUGGUAGUCCAUGCCGUAAACGAUGAGUGCUAAGUGUUAGGGGGUUUCCGCCCCUUAGUGCUGGAGCAAACGCAUUAAGCACUCCGCCUGGGGAGUACGGCCGCAAGGCUGAAACUCAAAGGAAUUGACGGGGGACCCGCACAA